GCUCCUGGAACAUUCUCUCGUUGGAAACAGCUGCCACCCAGCCUUUGUGGCUCUGUUGUGAUGGAAGAGGAUUGCCUUAUGAUAGUGGGAACUGUUUAUCUCCAUAUCAUGGGUUAUCUCUUGGGCCAUCUAGUUGGAGAGGCUCCAAAUUGUUGCCUGAGUCUGUCUUGACUUUCCCUUUGGGGACUUGGAGGGAACACACGGAAGCCAGCAACAUCUGUGACACCCUUCAGAUCCGGGGCUUCCUGGUGGGAAAAGCAGCAAUACUGUACCUACCAGUAUCACCCAGAGCACCACAGGGAGAUUUGGGGUGUGUCUCCAGCUACCAGAAAUUGCCAGCAGUGCACCCCACAGCUGCUCCAGGACCAGCUGGUAAGUGGAUAAGGCGGCCAACAGUGGGCCCUCCAUGGCAACAUAGGGCUUCACAGC